UUGCAGCCACAUCACUUUGAAACACCUCUUCUCGUACGAUCACCGAAGUUAAGCAACAUCGAACCUGGUCAAUACCUAAAUGGGAGGCCACUUAGGAAUACCAGGUGCUGUAA